AUGGCGCUCACCGUCAAGAGCACCGACGACCAGGCCGUGCUGGACGCCGAGCACGAGCUCUGGGCGACCACAUUCUCCUACAUCAAGUCCAUGGCGCUCAAGUCGGCCCUUGACCUCCGCCUCGCCGACGCCAUCCACCACCACGGCGGCGCCGCCACCCUCCCUCAGAUAGCCGCCAGGGUCGCGGUGCACCCGUCCAAGAUCCCCUGCCUGCGCCGCCUCAUGCGCACGCUCACCGUCUCGGGCGUCUUCAGCGUCGUCCAGCAGCAGGACGUCGUCGUUCCUGCUGCCCCCGUGAGCAACGGCAGCUGCAACGGCGCCGUCGCCGCCGAGCCCUUGUACGCCCUCACGCCGGUCUCCCGCCUCCUCGUCGGCUCGUGGAACCUGGUCUCGAUCAUCACCAUGCUCCUCAGCCCCAACUUCGUCACCACAUUCCUGGGCAUCGGCGCGUGGUUCGAGCACGCGCUGCCGGACCCGUGCCUCUUCACGCAGGCGCACGGCGAGGCCCUGUGGACGAUGGCGGACCACGACGCCACCUUCGACGCGCUCAUCAACGACGGGAUGGUCUCGGACAGCAGCUUCAUCAUGGACAUCGCCAUGAGGGAGUGCGGCGAGGUCUUCCAGGGGAUAGGCUCCCUGAUGGACGUCGGGGGCGGCCUCGGCGCGGCGGCCCAGGCCAUCUCCAGGGCGUUCCCAAGUCUGGAAUGCACCGUGAUGGACCUCGACCACGUCGUCGACAAGGCUCCGGCUGGCACCGACGUGAAGUACGUCGUCGGCGACAUGUUCGAGAGCGUUCCGCCGGCAGACGCUGUCUUUCUCAAGUGGGUACUACAUGACUGGGGACACGAGGACUGUGUCAAGAUACUAAAGAACUGCAAGAAAUCUAUUCCUCCGAGAGGGAAAGGAGGAAAGGUAAUAAUCAUCGACAUAGUGAUUGGAGCCGGGCCGUCACACGUAAAGCACCGGGAGCUGCAGUCCAUGUUCGACCUCUACAUGAUGAUUGUCGAUGGCAUUGAGCGAGAUGAGCAAGAGUGGAAAAAGAUCUUCCUCGAAGCUGGGUUUAGUGGCUACAAGAUUAUACCAGUUCUAGGGUUCAGGUCAAUCAUCGAGGUCUACCCGUAG
rnacentral:rRNA from 1 species